rnacentral:rRNA from 1 species
ACGCUGACAGAAUGCUUAACACAUGCAAGUCUACUUGAACUUCGGUUUGGGUGGCGGACGGGUGAGUAACGCGUAAAGAACUUGCCUCACAGUUAGGGACAACAUUUGGAAACGAAUGCUAAUACCUGAUAUUAUGAUUUUAGGGCAUCCUAAGAUUAUGAAAGCUAUAUGCGCUGUGAGAGAGCUUUGCGUCCCAUUAGCUAGUUGGAGAGGUGACGGCUCACCAAGGCGAUGAUGGGUAGCCGGCCUGAGAGGGUGAACGGCCACAAGGGGACUGAGACACGGCCCUUACUCCUACGGGAGGCAGCAGUGGGGAAUAUUGGACAAUGGACCAAAAGUCUGAUCCAGCAAUUCUGUGUGCACGAUGACGUUUUUCGGAAUGUAAAGUGCUUUCAGUUGGGAAGAAAAAAAUGACGGUACCAACAGAAGAAGUGACGGCUAAAUACGUGCCAGCAGCCGCGGUAAUACGUAUGUCACAAGCGUUAUCCGGAUUUAUUGGGCGUAAAGCGCGUCUAGGUGGUUAUGUAAGUCUGAUGUGAAAAUGCAGGGCUCAACUCUGUAUUGCGUUGGAAACUGUAUGACUAGAGUACUGGAGAGGUAAGCGGAACUACAAGUGUAGAGGUGAAAUUCGUAGAUAUUUGUAGGAAUGCCGAUGGGGAAGCCAGCUUACUGGACAGAUACUGACGCUAAAGCGCGAAAGCGUGGGUAGCAAACAGGAUUAGAUACCCUGGUAGUCCACGCCGUAAACGAUGAUUACUAGGUGUUGGGGGUCGAACCUCAGCGCCCAAGCUAACGCGAUAAGUAAUCCGCCUGGGGAGUACGUACGCAAGUAUGAAACUCAAAGGAAUUGACGGGGACCCGCACAAGCGGUGGAGCAUGUGGUUUAAUUCGACGCAACGCGAGGAAC